UUGAACGCUGGCGGCAUGCUUUACACAUGCAAGUCGAACGGCAGCGGGGGCUUCGGCCUGCCGGCGAGUGGCGAACGGGUGAGUAAUGCAUCGGAACGUACCCAGUCGUGGGGGAUAACUACGCGAAAGCGUAGCUAAUACCGCAUACGUCCUGAGGGAGAAGGCGGGGGAUCUUCGGACCUCGCGCGAUUGGAGCGGCCGAUGUCGGAUUAGCUAGUAGGUGAGGUAAAGGCUCACCUAGGCGACGAUCCGUAGCGGGUCUGAGAGGAUGAUCCGCCACACUGGGACUGAGACACGGCCCAGACUCCUACGGGAGGCAGCAGUGGGGAAUUUUGGACAAUGGGCGCAAGCCUGAUCCAGCCAUGCCGCGUGAGUGAAGAAGGCCUUCGGGUUGUAAAGCUCUUUCGGCCGGGAAGAAAUCGUGGUCUCUAACAUAGGCCAUGGAUGACGGUACUGUCAGAAGAAGCACCGGCUAACUACGU
rnacentral:rRNA from 1 species